ACUCCUACGGGAGGCAGCAGUGGGGAAUAUUGCACAAUGGGGGAAACCCUGAUGCAGCCAUGCCGCGUGUGUGAAGAAGGCCUUCGGGUUGUAAAGCACUUUCAGUAGGGAGGAAGGUAGUGUAGUUAACACCUGCAUUAUUUGACGUUACCUACAGAAGAAGCACCGGCUAACUCCGUGCCAGCAGCCGCGGUAAUACGGAGGGUGCGAGCGUUAAAUCGGAAUUACUGGGCGUAAAGCGCAUGCAGGUGGUUUGUUAAGUCAGAUGUGAAAGCCCGGGGCUCAACCUCGGAAUUGCAUUUGAAACUGGCAGACUAGAGUACUGUAGAGGGGGGUAGAAUUUCAGGUGUAGCGGUGAAAUGCGUAGAGAUCUGAAGGAAUACCGGUGGCGAAGGCGGCCCCCUGGACAGAUACUGACACUCAGAUGCGAAAGCGUGGGGAGCAAACAGGAUUAGAUACCCUGGUAGGAUAGCG
rnacentral:rRNA from 1 species